UACGUAGGGUGCGAGCGUUGUCCGGAAUUAUUGGGCGCAAAGAGCUUGUAGGCGGUCUGUCGCGUCUGCUGUGAAAAUCCGGGGCUCAACCCCGGACUUGCAGUGGGUACGGGCAGACUAGAGUGUGGUAGGGGAGACUGGAAUUCCUGGUGUAGCGGUGAAAUGCGCAGAUAUCAGGAGGAACACCGAUGGCGAAGGCAGGUCUCUGGGCCACUACUGACGCUGAGAAGCGAAAGCAUGGGGAGCGAACAGG
rnacentral:rRNA from 1 species